GACAGAGGCCUCGAGCGUUAGGCGGAAUCACUGGGCUUAAAGCGUGUGUAGGCGGAUCGUUAAGUACCUUGUGAAAUCCCACGGCUCAACCGUGGAACUGCUGGGUAUACUGCCUGUCUUGAGUCAUCUAGGGGCGAGCGGAACAAAUGGUGGAGCGGUGAAAUGCGUAGAUAUCAUUUGGAACGCCAAUGGUGAAAACAGCUCGCUGGGGAUGUACUGACGCUGAGACACGAAAGCCAGGGGAGCAAACGGG
rnacentral:rRNA from 1 species